CAGUAGCCGCGGGAAUACGAAGGGGGCUAGCGUUGCUCGGAAUGACUGGGCGUAAAGGGCGCGUAGGCGGUUUUGACAGUCAGAUGUGAAAUUCCUGGGCUUAACCUGGGGGCUGCACUUGAGACGUCAAGACUAGAGUGUGAGAGAGGGUUGUGGAAUUCCCAGUGUAGAGGUGAAAUUCGUAGAUAUUGGGAAGAACACCGGUGGCGAAGGCGGCAACCUGGCUCAUUACUGACGCUGAGGCGCGAAAGCGUGGGGAGCAAACAGGAUUAGAUACCCGGGUAGCCCUGUCUCUUAUACA
rnacentral:rRNA from 1 species